GACAGCCAAGAUUGUGCCACUGCACUCCAGCCGGGGCAAAAAGUGGAGACUUAAUCCAAAAAAAAAAAAAAAAAGAGUUUUAUCAGUAUCGGGUAGUUUCUCUGUUAUAGGAACCAGAGGGUUUAUAUCAGUGUUUUUGUAAAGUCACCUCCAGCUGGGAGUUAAGAUAGAAACAUAUGACGUGUAUAUACGUGCAGUGUGCAUACACGUGUGUGUAAGCUUAGCCUUCUUGUGUUUUAAACUAGUGAUCUUUCACUUAUAGCAGGAAAGCUGAGUCACCUCUUUCAUGAUGGUGGGAGAAAAGCGAAGCAAAAACUGCAACAAACAAAAUCUCAAACCUUCUCAGCAGCAGCAGAUAGCAAACAGUGAUAGCAAACAGUGAUUAGAGGAGAAUGACCCUUCCAGCAUCAGAAGAUUUCCGAAGUCUGUUCCAGUAGGGGCUGCGGGCUUCUGGGAGCCCAGAUACCCACGGACAGUGUACAUUAGGUGUGAGGUGGAGGCCAGGUGGCAAGAGAGUGCAGGCCAAUGUCUGAGAAGCCUGUGAAGAAAAGGAGAUUUUCUGGGGGAGAGAGAAUCUUGGAGUGAGCAAAUGACCAUGUCAUUUAGUGGAGAGGGUCAAAGGAAAAGAGGGAUGUGAUGGGAGAGAGAAGGGAGGAGCUGGAAAAUGGAAUGCCAGUAGUGAUGGGGAGAGAAAGAAAAAUAGGUAGAAUGUUCCAUGAUUGUGUUAGAGGCAAAAGCUUAUUACAAGGCACUUCUACGAUAGUAGAUAAGAUGAUGUAGUGUUUAAAGUGUCAAACCUAAGGCUCUGUAUAGAGUAAGAAACAAUUAUUUAAAUUUAUUGUAUAAUUUUGCAUAAGAAAAACACACGUUGAUGGCUUUUGGUGGAUGGUGGUUAUGAAAGCUUUUAUUAUUUUAGAAAAUACUUGUUAGUUUUGUAUAGUGAACAAACAUUUUAAGUUGAAAACUGUUUGCAUAGUCAUUUUUCCAUGUUUCUUAUGUGUUUAUUAGACCAGCAUAAUUUAUAAGCACUUUUGUGGCUGCAGUGUAGAGAAAAAGGCUAAAGAGAAGGGUUUAGAAGCCUGUACUGGUCUUGUGAGCUUGAUAGUAUGUUAGAAGGUGUUUCAAAUGUAGUGACAGUGACAGUGUGUUGCCUUGGGCCUGUAGGAGUUUCGAGAGCUCUGCCAGGUGAGUUGGCCCAAGUUAGGCCUCCCCCUUCUCCCGGGUGGCGGCUGUGUGGCCUGGAACAGCCUCCCUGGGAGCUACUUUUGGAACCUGAGAAAGCUGAUUUCUCUUAAUUAGGGCUUACUCUGGCAGUUGCCAUUUGUUAUUAGGAGAACCUGAAGUUGAUCUUCUGGACCCAAAUAGGGGUCUAGUAUAUGGUAUUUGAAAUUUUAGAUGUAUCAGAUUUUAAAUUCUGGCAUACUGUAUUUGGAGAAAUUACAUAAUUUCUACUAGUUUCUGUUUUCAAAGCUUUGGAAAAUAGGCUCUGUGCUUAACACUGUUUUAAAAAAAUAUAUAUGCAUACAUGUAUGCACACAUCUGUGUAUAUAUAGUGUCACAUGUAAUAUACCUUUAGCUUCUCUCAAUGUCUGCACAGAUGGCAUAUUGUCUUCAGUUUUGCAUCAUUCUUUUUCAGAGCCUGAGGACUGCACGGGUUCCCAUGCCUCAAUGCUGGGCUACUUUCAACAGCUGUUGUUGGAAUUUGAGUCUUUAGUGAUACAUACUGGUGGAUCGCCAGUGCUCCUGUCUCCAUUGUGGGGAAGCAGUCAUAGCAGUAAUUCCAAAUGGUAGAUAUUCCUUAAACAUUGCCUCACAGUUUGGGGCUGCAGUGUUCCAUUUUAGGUGGCAGCAAGUUUAACUUCCUCCCUAUGGCUUAUUUGGGUUACUAUGGCGAAGGUGUGUUCUUGAGUAAGAAUGUGAGCAGGCAUUCUAAAGGCGAGUGCUGUGUGGGGGAACCCUAAUGCUUACAUAUGCACAGUUGGUAUUUGAGAACUAGAACUCAUUCACUUGGGUGGUAUCACACAUACUUCUGUUUUAAAAUUAAAUGUACUAAUUUAUUUCAGAGUCAAGCAUCCAUAUAGCCAGUUUUUUUUUUUUUUUUUUUUUUAAGCAUCUGCUGUAUGCAUAGCAUGGUCCUGGGAAUUAACAAAAUUCUGCCCCAUCACUGCUCAUCCUGUCCUGAAUUAUUCCUCUUUUCCUUAAUGUGUUCCUUUCUUCCUCACCUGGGUUGCAGCUCUUCAACAGAUUUUACUCCCUUUUCUCCUCUCUGCUGGUUGAAAGUGAGUCCCCCCUCUCAGCCUCAGUCCCAGUGGAGCAACAGUUCCCAUGUUCUGGAACCCAUUUCCACCAACUCCUCGGGCAGAGUUGGCUGGCUUGCCUUUCUGCUGUGCUUCUUUGGUACCCCUCAGAAUCUCCCUCUUUGCUGGUGUGCUCCCUCUCUUCUGCUAGAGGCUGUUUUUGAGCAGAGAUUCUGCCUUAUUCAUAUUUGUGCCAUCUACAGGGCCUGAGAUGAUUCUGUGGACACCUAAUCAUUGCACAAUAAAGUAUCAAUCAACACAUGUGGUAGAAUGGAAAAUAUGGAAAAAUGGAAAUCCAUUUGGGAAAACAAAGCAUAGCUGCAGAUACCAACUGUAAGGGUGCCUUGCCUUGCCUUUUUCUUUCAUUGCUGUGGUCUCUUUAAAUCAGGAGACCAGAUAUAUAGCACGGUUUUCAUCACCCAUUGGCCACAUGCUCUUCAGACAUUUUUCUGUGAAAGGAACUGAUUCUACAUUUUUUUGUAGGAUUGUUAUGGAGGUAAAUGAGAUCAUCUGUGUGAAGAUAGUUUAAAAAGUUUAAAAGUGCUUUGUAUAAAGUCUUGCUAUUGACAUGAGGGCUAGUUUUGGGAGAGGGGAGGUGAUAUCAAUGAAAACAUUUUAUAAUGACAUCUGUCUGUUAGUUAUUUUGUAAAUCAUUUUGUAGUACACAGGGCUGAUUAGUUUUAUACUGUAUUUUUGUGGUUAGGAACUUUUAUGUUGAGACCUCAGGAAAGAGAAUGAAGUAAGGUUAUAAUAAAAUCUUACAAGGGGAACUUCAAAAAAGGGGAGAGUUCACUGGCUUAAUUUCUGCAUUUUCUAAGGGUAGACCCUGAAUUAACACGACUGCCUUGGGUUUCCUCUGGCCUCCCUGGGAGUUGCGGUCAGGGAGUAUUUGUGAGGGACCUUUAGGCUCCUUAUGCUGACAGCAUCUUACUCCAUGGCUCUCUCCCUGCGUCAGUCUUCCUCAUCAGCUUGCAGUUUCUCAAUUCUAUGUUAACCAUCUUUAUUCUUGGUAGCAUUAUUGUAAAUUUGGGGUACUAGUUAUAAUUUCUUCUGAUUAUUUCUCCCAGAGCUGUUAUUUGCCCAGUAGUCAAAUAAACCUGGCAAAGAGCUCAUUGCUCAGGGGGACUCCCGAGUUACUCCAGGGAUGUGGUGCUCUCAGAGCUCUUACAGUUGGGGUCCUCCACUCUGGACAAAUAGAUUGCCUGGUCUUCGUGACAUUUUACUUUUCUUCUUUGGGGAUCUGUGUGGAAAUCAUAGCCCUUCCUUCUCCUUUCUCUUCUUUACUUCUCUGAGCUUCACUUCCUUCUCUUCUGGCCCUGCUGCCUCUGAGUGCCAUGUCUUCCAUGCUCCCCUCUCCAGUGUGAGCCUGACACACACCAGCCCCAGCACUCGUCCCAUGUUCCAUAGCAUGACCUUACUCUCCCAUCCUCACCUUGGGACUGUCACCUGGCUGGCUCCAGCCCCAUCUCUUCACUUUUCCUUGCUUUGACUCUUGAUGUCUUUUGAGCGUUGCCCCUCCUCUGAUUGGCAGGUGCUGGGGACAGGCUGAUACCUGUUCUGCUGGUGUUUGCCUUCCUCCUGAGCGAGUGGUGUUUCCUGUAGACCUGCUCUGGCUUGUCAGCCUGCUCAGAACAACAGUAAGUUCUCUCUCUUUCUCUGGCAAUGCCAUUUUGUAUCCACAACAGCUGUGGGUCAGGGGAGAGGUAUUUCAAAAGCCAGAAUCCCUGGACCCUGAUUUAUUCUGAUACAGCAUCACUUGGAACUGUUUUCCUUGAGAUUCUCUAGGAAAAAAAUCAUGCCCUAAUGCAGUGUUUUCUAAACUGUUGAUCAUGACUCUUUAAUGGGAGCAAGAAAGUAAUACAUUAGGCUGCAACUGGAAAUGUUUUUAAUGGAAGGAAUUUGAUAUAAAGAAUAGGAAAUACAAAUGUAGCACAUGCAGUGAGUGUCCUGUGUGUUCAAGGUUUUGAUAUAAAAUAUGUUUCUUCCUCUGAGUUGGAGUCAAAACAUUUGACAGCCAUUACUCUAAUUUUCGGUAUUUUUUAAGCUCCUUUGAUUCUCCUCUCCAUUUUCCUUCUAAUGAUAAUUUAAGAAAAAAAAAUUUUUUUUGUAGUUCAGAUAAAGUAGAUUUAAAAUAUGAUCUAUUUCCAGGACAACCUGAUGAAAAACUGAAACCACAGCUAAGUGAUUUGCCAGUUGCGCAACAGCUCUUCUCUAUUCCAUGCAGGCCUUUGCCUCCUAAGCAGUGUGCCUUCCCAGUGAAGCUCUAGCAGGUAAGGGUAAGGCAGCCACCUGAAGGGCGUUCCAUCCAGGAGGAUUAGGAGGUGUGUAAGGAUGGAGCACCCAAACCCGGCAGGUGGCUUGUCCUGGAUGCUGUACAGACACCACAUGUGGGGUAGUCAUAGUCAGCUAAGGGGGUGGCCGUGGUGUUUCUAGGAUUAUUAGGCUGCCACUGGUUUGGGGAGUGAAGUGUGCUGGAAAAAGGUGCUGAGAUUCAAGAGGCGCCGAAUGCCCAGAUACUAGUGUUGCUAAUUCUUUUUUCUGGCAGUAAGAAAUAGCUGUAAGUUUUAAAUGAUUAUGAGUGAUUAUUGAAUGUAGUGUCUCCGGUCAGAAAACAUUGUCAUUUUUCCCAAUUCUUUGUACCUUGUCUUGAGCUCAGAGAAAUCCUUCCUGAUUUCAGGAAGUGUUGCUACUGGGAUAAACUUUGACUGUUCUUGUAAAAAACAUUUUUGAAAGGAAACUAAAUAUGACAAAUCAUGUUUCCCCCAUGACAUAUAUGGUGUAUCUUUUAAAAUUAAAGUAUUUAUUGAAGUGAAAAUCUUUGUAGGAUACUGUUUGAAAGCUGGCUUUACCUUCUAAUGGUAAUAUAGCUAAAAUAAAGUAGAAUUAGAAUAUGAUCUAAUUUCAGAACUAAAAUAUUUUGACCCAAUUAUCCUUAUAUGUCACUGGAUUUUGAAGGGUUCUAUCUUAGGACAGGUGUUUAUACUAGUUAAUGUCCAAAACAGUAAAAUGGCUUCACCGAAGUCUAUUGCCUUAACCUCAGAGGUGCUUAGAAGGGACAAUCAGAAUGUAUCCAUGUUGGACUAUUGUUUUGAGGAGGGUAAUUAUGAUUUUAUGAUUAUUUAUUUUUUUCAAAAUGUGUAGUUUAGGAUGCCUGAUUUUAAUGUUUUGUAAGUAUGAAACGAGGAGACCAUGGAAAGAAGUGAAACAUUUAAUUUGCUGAAAAU